UUGAUAAUAAGUUUGGAAUUUUAUUAAUUAGUUUCGUCUUGAUUGAUCUUUUUGGUUGAAGUCCAUCAGUUUCUGUCCAAAGACGGUAUAAAUAAUGUGUAUUUACGUACGUACUGCUAGCAAAAGCUGCUCUGGUUUCAAUUAAGGCCAUUUACUACUUUACACUGCAUGCGCGUCCUUUGAGUGCCAUCAUCAAAUUACAUAUAUAAUCUGCAAAUCUAAUUGCUCUUACCUACUCC
rnacentral:lncRNA from 1 species